GAGAUCUGAGGGGAGUCCUGAGGGGAGCCCUGAGGGGAGCCGUGAGGGGAGCCCUGAGGGGAGUCCUGAGGGGGCCCCGGCACUCCCGGGAAUGUUCCCACUGGAUCGAAAGGCUCCUUCCUGCGGCUAGAACCCCCCAGAGGACACCCGGACACACAAAUCCCACACAAAUCCCCUCCUGCCUCAGGGAACAGGGGAGGGAGGAUGUUGGGGAAGGAUGUUUGGGAUAAAAGUGGGAUUGGAACCUCCCAAAAUCCUCCCAGAUCCGUGAAAUCCCGCACAAAUUUUUAGGGUCAGAAGGGACCUUAAACUCAUCCUAUUCCUGCUUUUUUUUGUGCUGUUUUUCCCCAGGGAAUCCUUGGAAUUCAGUUCCAGGGAAUUUCCCUCCGACAAAAAAUCCGCCUUUUCCCUGGUUUUCGGUUCCUCCGGGAGGUUCCCGCCUGGAAAAAUCAGCGUGUGGAGGCUCAGGGACAAAAGCACAUCCAGGAAUCCGUCGGCCAAAUCCUCGGGAUUGUCCCACCCGAUUCCCGACUCCGCAGAUCCCAAAGAAUGUUCUGCCGGGAAUAACAAACCAAAGGCUCUUCCUGGGGCAGGAUGGAGGAGGCGGGAGCUGCUCCAAACCUCGGCCUGCCCAGGGAUUCAUGGAAGUGUUGGGAAAGGCCCCCGGGAUCAUCCGGAGCAGCCGCUCCAAGGCCACCGAGGAACCACAUCCACAGGAAAACAUUCCAGAGGGAACGUGGCGGAUGAUCCUUAAUGGAGCUCCAGGCACUUCUGAACAUUCCCUUUAAUUUCCCGGUGAUUGGGUUUAAUUUCCCGGGAAUGGGGGGCCUGGGAAAACCGGGAAUGGCUCCAGGUAAUGAAGGUCGUUCAUCAUCCGGGGGAGGGAGGAGGAGGAGCGGGAAAGGUUUGGGAUGAGGCGGAAAAAG